rnacentral:rRNA from 1 species
GAUGAACGCUGGCGGCGUGCCUAAUACAUGCAAGUCGAGCGAAUGGAUUGAGAGCUUGCUCUUAUGAAGUUAGCGGCGGACGGGUGAGUAACACGUGGGUAACCUGCCCAUAAGACUGGGAUAACUCCGGGAAACCGGGGCUAAUACCGGAUAACAUUUUGAACCGCAUGGUUAGAAAUUAAAAGGCGGCUUCGACUGUCACUUAUGGAUGGACCCGCGUCGCAUUAGCUAGUUGGUGAGGUAACGGCUCACCAAGGCAACGAUGCGUAGCCGACCUGAGAGGGUGAUCGGCCACACUGGGACUGAGACACGGCCCAGACUCCUACGGGAGGCAGCAGUAGGGAAUCUUCCGCAAUGGACGAAAGUCUGACGGAGCAACGCCGCGUGAGUGAUGAAGGCUUUCGGGUCGUAAAACUCUGUUGUUAGGGAAGAACAAGUGCUAGUUGAAUAAGCUGGCACCUUGACGGUACCUAACCAGAAAGCCACGGCUAACUACGUGCCAGCCGCCGCAGUAA